ACAAUAACUCAAUUUUCUCCCUGUUUUAGGGGGUAAGCUUCUGUUCGAGAUGAAUCGGAUUCUAAGACCCAGUGGAUACUUUAUUAUGUUGACUAAACAUGACAGCAUUGAAGAAGAAAAAGCCAUGACUUCAUUGACAGCAUCUAUUUGUUGGAAUGUUCUGCCACAUAAAAGUGACGACAUUGGUGAAGUUGGAGUUAAAAUAUAUC